rnacentral:rRNA from 1 species
AGCGAACGCUGGCGGCAGGCCUAACACAUGCAAGUCGAACGAACCUUUCGGGGUUAGUGGCGGACGGGUGAGUAACCCGUGGGAACGUGCCUUUAGGUUCGGAAUAACUCAGGGGAACUUGUGCUAAUACCGAAUGUGCCCUUCGGGGGAAAGAUUAAUCGCCUUUAGAGCGGCCCGCGUCUGAUUAGCUAGUUGGUUGAGGUAAUGGCUCACCAAGGCGACGAUCAGUAGCUGGUCUGAGAGGAUGAUCAGCCACAUUGGGACUGAGACACGGCCCAAACUCCUACGGGAGGCAGCAGUGGGGAAUCUUGCGCAAUGGGCGAAAGCCUGACGCAGCCAUGCCGCGUGAAUGAUGAAGGUCUUAGGAUUGUAAAAUUCUUUCACCGGGGACGAUAAUGACGGUACCCGGAGAAGAAGCCCCGGCUAACUUCGUG